rfam:Zootermopsis nevadensis contig15773, whole genome shotgun sequence.
GCCGCGGUGGUCUAGCGGUUAGAACGCUGGCCUUGUAAUCCUGGGGUCUCGGGUUCGAUUCCCGGCGGUGCCC